rnacentral:rRNA from 1 species
CCUACGGGUGGCAGCAGUGGGGAAUAUUGCACAAUGGGGGAAACCCUGAUGCAGCGACGCCGCGUGAGUGAAGAAGUAUUUCGGUAUGUAAAGCUCUAUCAGCAGGGAAGAAGAAAGACGGUACCUGACUAAGAAGCACCGGCUAACUACGUGCCAGCAGCCGCGGUAAUACGUAGGGGGAAGGCGGUAGCCGGAUGUACGUGGUGUAAGGGGGGCGUAGAGGGUUGUGCAAGUCUGAAGUGAAAGCCCAGGGCUCAACCCUGGGACUGCUUUGGAGACUGUGGAGCUAGAGUGCUGGAGAGGUAAGUGGAAUUCCUAGUGUAGCGGUGAAAUGCGUAGAUAUUAGGAGGAACACCAGUGGCGAAGGCGGCUUACUGGACAGUAACUGACGUUGAGGCUCGAAAGCGUGGGGAGCAAACAGGAUUAGAUACCCGGGUAGUC